GGCUGUGGCUCAGUGGUAGAGUGCUUGCCUAGCAUGUGUGAGGCACUGGGUUUUAUUCUCAGCACCA
rnacentral:tRNA from 1 species